AUGGAGUCGGACAUGACUGAAACGACUUAGCAGCAGCAGCAGCAGGGGAAGGCAAUGGCACCCCACUCCAGUACUCUUGCCUGGCAAAUCCCGUAGACGGAGGAGCUUGGCUUCCAUCCAAGACAGAAGCAAUUGAUUCUUAAAGAAGGGCUAAUAUUCCCAGGAUUUUAAACAGCGGCAAAACUCAUUGGUGAAGGAUACAGCUCUGGGUUCUUUUCCAGUUGCGGGCUUCCCUGGUGGCUCAGUGGUAAGAAUUUGCCUGCCAAUGCAGGAGGAAUGAAUUCGAUCCCUGGUCUAGGAGGAUCCCACAGCAGUGGAGCAGCUGAGCCC
ensembl:lncRNA